rfam:Triticum aestivum genome assembly, contig: Triticum_aestivum_CS42_TGACv1_scaffold_129991_2BL
GUUCUACUCCCUCCGUUCGAAAUCACUUGUCAUAAAAAUGGAUGUAUCUACAACUAAAAAACAUUAGAUACAUUCAUUUUUUGGACGAGUAAUUCCGAACGGAGGGAGUAGAAC